GCCUGUUACGCGUUGGUUUGGGAGGUACGGCAGGUGAGGCAAGAACAGUGGAUCAAUGUCUCUGGCUGUGGGUUGUAGGUUGGAGCGUGCUUGGGCAGUGAUUUGCGUUUGCCGACCUCUGCUCUUGCGUUGGUGUGGUAUUUGGCUGCUCUGCCAUAUUUGGCUCAUCCCAGGACCGGAUCUCUGGCUCUUAGUGUGGUCGUAGCAGGUAAUCACCGAUUCCAGUUUAAUUCGCUCCGACAGUCUGCUGAUGCUGAGUCAAGUGAGGAGGGAGCUUCAGCAUGUGGUCUGCGCCAUCUUGUA